CUAUUGUUAGGUCUGACAUCACAUUACAUGUGUGAUCUAAACAAUGUGGGGCUUGCUGGCAGUGAAGCCCCCCAGGAAACGUUCUAGUCUUGUGGAGCCAGAAUCUGCAAUGGUCACAUUCCCUACAUUACUAAAGAAAACUGGAGAGAAGAAUUCUAAGGCUGAGGCUCUAAAGAGGAAGUUUGGUGAUGAUGGCUGUCUGGAAAUGUUAAGGCGUAUCAAGAAGACUGUGAUUGGAUUGGAGAAUGGAAAUGAAUUUUCAUACAUGUCAUCUACCAGCAUAUCACUUGACUCAUCUCUGUAUUGAAGUGGGUACAGUGCUCAAGUGUCCAUGACAUAACCCAGGAUGGUUGUGAGAGUCUUGGGAUGCAAAACUGAAGAUGGGAGAAGAAAAAAGAAGAAAAGGAAAAAGAAACAAGAGCUGAGAUAAGGAUCAUGGUCAUGAAAUAGAGGGCUCCCUGUGGAUUGUGCCUUUUUUCUUUUUUUUUAAGAAAUGAACUUGAAUUCUUCAUCACCAACUGCCUUCUUGACAUCUCUACCUGCAUGUCCUAGUGGCAUCUCUAGUUCAAAUUCAAGUUCAGUACAGAACUGGACUCAUUAUAUUUCCCCCCAUAUUUCUUCCAGAUUUCUCUGUUUCUAUGGAGAAUGAUUCCAUCGUUCCAGUAGUCCGAGUUUAAAAUCUUGGCAUUGACCUAUGACUCUCUUCUCUCCUUUACCCUAAUUCCCACCCCCAAUCAUAUGUCCAACAAUUUUUCAAGUCUUGUCUCCUAACUAAUUUUCUGUUAUCAAGUUGUCUGUAGUAAUAUAUCCUUAUUAAUCCAGUGGUAUCUUCUGCCUCCCCAUAUGUCACAUCUGUCCCUUUCUCUUGUCUCACACAGUCCCUCCUCUGAUGCAGGUCUCUUUUACCACUUGCCUAGAC
rnacentral:lncRNA from 1 species